CCCCGUGGACGCACCCGCGGGUUGGCUGCACCGGGGAGACCUUUGGCACCCGGCGGAGCUCAGUGGGGACGAGGAUGAGGCACCACGGGCCGCUGAGGGCACCGGGGCUCCAGGUGUCCCCCACAACCCCAGCGCCUCCGAGAAGCAGCGGGUGAGGAGCAAGCUGAGGCGCUUCAUCGUCAAGCGGCCCUCGCUCCAGAGCCUGCAGGAGAAGGGGCUCAUCCGAGACCAGGUGUUCGGGUGCCGCCUGGACGCCCUGUGCCAGCGGGAGGGCAGCGCCG
rnacentral:lncRNA from 1 species